GCCGGGUGUGGUGGUGCACACCUGUAAUCCCAGCUAUUUGGGAGGCUGAGGCAGGAUUGUUUCAAUGUCAAGAUCAGCAUGGGCAACUUAACAAAACACUGUCUCAA
rnacentral:sRNA from 1 species